UCGAACAACACAUAUGGUGCUAACUGUGUGUACAGCUGUGGACAUUGUUACAAUGAUACGUGUAAUCACGUGACCGGAAACUGUCUAUUCGGUUGUACUGAUGGUUGGACAUCAAGCAAGUGCAAUCACGCCUGCAGUCCUGGUUACUAUGGACGUGGUUGUACACAGAGAUGUAGCAGUCACUGUAUAACGCCGUAUCUGUGUGACCGAUAUAAUGGAUCUUGUAUUGGAGGAUGUGCUACUGGGUGGACUAAUGAUACUUGUGACAAAGUUGAUACAGAUUACUGUA